rnacentral:rRNA from 1 species
UACGGGGGAGCAAGCGUUGUUCGGAUUUACUGGGCGUAAAGGGCUCGUAGGCGGCCAACUAAGUCAGACGUGAAAUCCCUCGGCUUAACCGGGGAACUGCGUCUGAUACUGGAUGGCUUGAGUUUGGGAGAGGGAUGCGGAAUUCCAGGUGUAGCGGUGAAAUGCGUAGAUAUCGGGAGGAACACCCGUAGCGAAGGCGGUUCUCUGGGCCAAUACUGACGCUGAGGAGCGAAAGCGUGGGGAGCGAAACAGG